UGCUAAUGAGCAAUGAAAGGCACUCAGCCCAAUCUGAGCCUGAACAUGCUGGUUCAAAGUCACCCCAGAUGUGUGUGUGACAUCAUUGACUACUGGGGGGUGCUUAGACCUUCCUCUGAAGCAUCUAGACCUGACAGGAAGCUGCUCUUGUUCUUAAGGCACUGGACAUGGGUCUAGGUUCAAUUCCUGGGUUGUCCAGAGACUCCUUGGGGGACCUUGUGGAAGUCACUCCAUUUCUUUGUUCCUCAUCUGAAAAACGGGGCUGAAGACAGUACUUCCUUCUCUGAAGAUGGUCUAAAGCUUCCAUGGUUAUCACUACAACUACAAUACCCACCUGCUGAAGUGAAGAAACAGAUUGACAGAGCCAGAAGAGUACCCAGAAGUCACCUACUACAGGACAGGCCCAACAAAGAAAAUAACAGAACGCCACUAGCCAUCACC